CCCCCACACACACACACAAACAAAGAGGCGUUAGGCUGAGACGCUGAAAGUCCGGAUUUAAAGUGCAGAAAAUUAAGCCAUUGAAUCUGCCUGUCCAUGACGUAGUAAGACACACUAUGAGCCAGUAUGAUCCGACCAGACCUUACAUCAGCAUUGAGGAGUUGUCGGAGAAGAAAGAGGCUGAUUGAAGUGGGACAGAUGACAUGGAUCCAUCCUUCCACAGCCAGGAGCGCACCGACCUGUGUCCCACACUUCAUAUAAGACUGGAAGCUACACUGGAUCUCACAGCUACACACCACAGACGUCUACACACUGGAGAAGAUUCAGACA